CGGGUGAGUAACGCGUGAGUAACCUGCCUUACACAAGGGGAUAGCCGUUGGAAACGACGAAUAAUACCCUAUGAAACUAUCACUUCGCAUGAAGCGAUAGUCAAAGUGUUAGCGGUGUAAGAUGGACUUGCGUCUGAUUAGCUAGUUGGUGAGAAAAAAGCCCACCAAGGCAACGAUCAGUAGCCGGCUUGAGAGAGUGUACGGCCACAUUGGGACUGAGACACGGCCCAG
rnacentral:rRNA from 1 species